UCAAAACAAACUUUUGAAACUUUCUUCUAGCCAUAACAUUAAAAGAAAUGCCUUUAUGUAAAAACCCCCAUAACAAGUAAAUAUUUACUUACUAAUCGCAAAGGCAAACAACAAAACUUAAUGUUUUUUCGAGACAAACAUAAAAGAACAGAAAACUAGCUGCCUGACACCUAAAAUGAAGAGAUGAAAUAUCCUGGUCUUUCGGUACCAAAUUGUAACGUUUCGCCCUACCUCCUACACUAUUUACUUGGAAGAUAUUUGAAAACACCUAACUAAACUUACUUGAGUGAAAUAAGAGUGAAACAAAUACUGCUUUGAAUUGGCCAUGAAACAUCCAGGGAAACCCUACGUUGUGUUGUAACCCAAUAAACGAAAGAUAGUGAAUUAAAUAAAACUAUGACCUAGAACUGAUUACAUACUUC